GAUGAAGAACGUAGCGAAAUGCGAUAAGUAAUGUGAAUUGCAGAAUUCAGUGAAUCAUCGAAUCUUUGAACGCACAUUGCGCCCGCCAGUAUUCUGGCGGGCAUGCCUGUUCGAGCGUCAUUUCAACCAUCAAGCCCCAGGCUUGUGUUGGGGACCUGCGGCUGCCGCAGGCCCUGAAAACCAGUGGCGGGCUCGCUGUCACACCGGGCGUAGUAGAUUUUAUCUCGCUCAGGGCGUGCUGCGGGUUCCGGCCGUUAAAAAGCCUUUUUUACCCAAGGUUGACCUCGGAUCAGGUAGGAAGACCCGCUGAACUUAAGCAUAUCCAAUAAGCGGAGGA
rnacentral:misc_RNA from 1 species